rnacentral:rRNA from 1 species
GACGAACGCUGGCGGCGUGCCUAAUACAUGCAAGUAGAACGCUGAAGGAGGAGCUUGCUUCUCUGGAUGAGUUGCGAACGGGUGAGUAACGCGUAGGUAACCUGCCGGGUAGCGGGGGAUAACUAUUGGAAACGAUAGCUAAUACCGCAUAACAGUAGAUAUCGCAUGAUAUCUACUUGAAAGGUGCAAUUGCAUCACUACCAGAUGGACCUGCGUUGUAUUAGCUAGUUGGUGAGGUAACGGCUCACCAAGGCGACGAUACAUAGCCGACCUGAGAGGGUGAUCGGCCAAACUGGGACUGGAACACGGCCCAGACUCCUACGGGAGGCAGCAGUAGGGAAUCUUCGGCAAUGGACGGAAGGCUGACCGAGCAACGCCGCGUGAGUGAAGAAGGGUUUCGGAUCGUAAAGCUCUGUUGUAAGAGAAGAACGAGUGUGAGAGUGGAAAGUUCACACUGUGACGGUAUCUUACCAGAAAGGGACGGCUAACUACGUG